AUGGAGCAGUUGAUGGAACAGGAAGGGGACAACAUGGAUCUAGCUGGGGAUGGCAUCCUGCCACAACAACAUGGUCCUGCUGGGGACGGUGAAGAAACAGACCCCACGCAAUACUAUGAAAAUAGGCUGAAUAUGCUCGAUUCUCUUAGAAGCACGGGCGUCGACCCCUAUCCGCACAAGUUUGAGGUCGCGAUCUCCAUCCCAGACUAUGUGACCAAGUACAGCAGCUUGGGUGCUGGCGAACAUUUUCUGACUGUCACUGAAAGCUUGGCUGGGAGGGUCAUGAGCAAGAGAGUUUCCUCAUCCGAACUCUUCUUUUAUGAUCUCUAUGGCGAUGGGGUGAAGGUUCAAGUCAUGGCUGGGGCCAGCUGCUCAGAGGUGGCCGAAACUGAAUUCUACAAAUGCCACAGUGUUGUGAAGCGGGGAGAUAUUGUUGGUAUAAUUGGAUACCCAGGUAGGAGUAGCAGGGGCGAGCUUAGCAUAUUUGCCAGAAAUUUAAUAUUGCUCUCCCCGUGCCUCCACAUGUUACCCAACCAGAGAACUGGGAGUUGCACUGCUGUUGCUGGCAAGGAAACUCGCUACCGCCAGAGAUAUCUCGACCUCAUGGUAAACCAUCAAGUGAGACAUAUCUUUAGAACACGAUCCAGGGUCAUUUCCUUCAUCAGAAGGUUCCUCGAUGAACGCAACUUUUUGGAGGUCGAGACUCCAAUGAUGAACUUGAUUUCCGGGGGAGCAUCUGCAAAACCAUUUGUUACACAUCACAAUGAACUAAACAUGGAUCUGUACAUGAGAAUUGCUCCUGAACUCUAUCUGAAGCAGUUGGUCGUGGGUGGCUUGGACCGUGUUUAUGAGAUAGGAAAGCAAUUCAGGAAUGAAGGGAUUGAUUUAACUCACAAUCCUGAAUUUACAACAUGUGAAUUCUAUAUGGCUUAUGCAGACUACAAUGACCUGAUGGAGCUGACUGAAACCAUUUUGUCGAGUAUGGUGAUGGAGCUGACUGGUAGUACCAGGAUAAAAUACCAUGCGAAUGGAACUGAUAACCCUCCCAUAGAGAUCGAUUUCACACCUCCUUACAGAAGGAUAGAUAUGAUGCAAGAACUGAAAUCUAUCGCUGGGCUUGACAUUCCAUUAGAUUUGUCAAGCGACGAGGCUAACAAAUACCUUGCAGCAACAUGUGAGAAGUAUGGAAUCAAAUGCUCGCCGCCUCAAACAACAGCACGGUUGCUUGACAAGAUUACUGGGCAUUUCCUGGAGGCCACGUGUGUGAACCCGACUUUUAUCAUCAAUCAUCCAGAGAUAAUGAGCCCACUGGCCAAAUGGCACAGGACUCAGUCAGGACUGACAAAAAGAUUUGAGUUAUUCAUCAACAAGCAUGAGGUAUGCAAUGCCUACACCGAGUUGAAUGAUCCAUUGGUGCAAAGACAGCGAUUUGAAGAGCAGCUGAGGAGCCGGCAAUCGGGAGACGACGAAGCGAUGGCGCUCGAUGAGGCGUUCUGCACUGCUCUCGAGUAUGGUUUGCCACCAACGGGCGGUUGGGGGAUGGGAAUUGAUCGGAUCGCAAUGCUUCUGACGGACUCGCAGAACAUGAACGAGGUUCUUCUAUUCCCAACGAUGAAGCCCCAACUACCUGGGUAG
rnacentral:rRNA from 1 species